AAGUAGAGAGCGUCCUGGUAUUCCCUGCAGAUUCUUGUAGCCAGGUGGGAAUUUUGUACAGGUUCGCGGCGAGUACACAGCGCACGGGGGGAUACCAGAACUGAACUGGUCGCUGCAUUCCAUCGGCGCGAAACUCGAGGCAGGCUGUUCUUGGGAUUUGAGUGAAUUUUGCACCGGAUCUGUUUAGACGCAUCAUCCUGCAUUGAAACAGAAAUGUCUGAAUAUCUAGCCGGGCGCCGUGGUUGGAAGGACACAUCUUUGGUGGGUGUAACGCAGUGGCGCUCCGAGCGUUGUACGGGAAAUGUUUCGCAAGUAAAUUAAAGGCGUGCAUGCGUAUUUCGUGCAAGAAAACACCUUUUUGAGCUCUGCUUUGCUAUCGUGUUUGGUAGAUCUGUGUGAGGGUUACAGAGAAAUAAAU
rnacentral:lncRNA from 1 species